GAUGAACGCUGGCGGCGUGCCUAAUACAUGCAAGUCGAGCGAACAGACGAGGAGCUUGCUCCUCUGACGUUAGCGGCGGACGGGUGAGUAACACGUGGAUAACCUACCUAUAAGACUGGGAUAACUUCGGGAAACCGGAGCUAAUACCGGAUAAUAUAUUGAACCGCAUGGUUCAAUAGUGAAAGACGGUUUUGCUGUCACUUAUAGAUGGAUCCGCGCCGCAUUAGCUAGUUGGUAAGGUAACGGCUUACCAAGGCAACGAUGCGUAGCCGACCUGAGAGGGUGAUCGGCCACACGGGAACUGAGACACGGUCCAGACUACUACGGGAGGCAGCAGUAGGGAAUAUUCCGCAAUGGGCGAAAGCCUGACGGAGCAACGCCGAGUGAGUGAUGAAGGUCUUCGGAUCGUAAAACUCUGUUAUUAGGGAAGAACAAAUGUGUAAGUAACUAUGCACGUCUUGACGGUACCUAAUCAGAAAGCCACGGCUAACUACGUG
rnacentral:rRNA from 1 species